UGGGGAAUUUUGGACAGUGGGCGCAAGCCUGAUCCAGCCAUGCCGCGUGAGUGAAGAAGGCCUUCGGGUUGUAAACUGCUUUUGUACGGAACGAAACGGCUCUGGUUAAUACCUGGGGCUAAUGACGGUACCGUAAGAAUAAGCACCGGCUAACUACGUGCCAGCAGCCGCGGUAAUACGUAGGGUGCGAGCGUUAAUCGGAAUUACUGGGCGUAAAGCGUGCGCAGGCGGUGAUGUAAGACAGAUGUGAAAUCCCCGGGCUCAACCUGGGACCUGCAUUUGUGACUGCAUAGCUGGAGUGCGGCAGAGGGGGAUGGAAUUCCGCGUGUAGCAGUGAAAUGCGUAGAUAUGCGGAGGAACACCGAUGGCGAAGGCAAUCCCCUGGGCCUGCACUGACGCUCAUGCACGAAAGCGUGGGGAGCAAACA
rnacentral:rRNA from 1 species